rnacentral:rRNA from 1 species
CAUGCAGUAGAACGCUGAAGGAGGAGCUUGCUUCUCUGGAUGAGUUGCGAACGGGUGAGUAACGCGUAGGUAACCUGCCUGGUAGCGGGGGAUAACUAUUGGAAACGAUAGCUAAUACCGCAUAAUAGCAGAUGUUGCAUGACAUUUGCUUGAAAGGUGCAAUUGCAUCACUACCAGAUGGACCUGCGUUGUAUUAGCUAGUUGGUGGGGUAACGGCUCACCAAGGCGACGAUACAUAGCCGACCUGAGAGGGUGAUCGGCCACACUGGGACUGAGACACGGCCCAGACUCCUACGGGAGGCAGCAGUAGGGAAUCUUCGGCAAUGGACGGAAGUCUGACCGAGCAACGCCGCGUGAGUGAAGAAGGUUUUCGGAUCGUAAAGCUCUGUUGUAAGAGAAGAACGAGUGUGAGAGUGGAAAGUUCACACUGUGACGGUAUCUUACCAGAAAGGGACGGCUAACUACGUGCCAGCAGCCGCGGUAAUACGUAGGUCCCGAGCGUUGUCCGGAUUUAUUGGGCGUAAAGCGAGCGCAGGCGGUUAGAUAAGUCUGAAGUUAAAGGCUGUGGCUUAACCAUAGUACGCUUUGGAAACUGUUUAACUUGAGUGCAAGAGGGGAGAGUGGAAUUCCAUGUGUAGCGGUGAAAUGCGUAAUAUAUGGAGGAACACCCGUG